rnacentral:rRNA from 1 species
UUAUGGCUCAGGAGUGAACGCUAGCGACAGGCUAACACAUGCAAGUCGAGGGGCAGCAUAAAAGUAGCAAUACGUUGGUGGCGACCGGCGCACGGGUGAGUAACGCGUAUGCAACCUACCUAUCAGAGGGGAAUAACCCGGCGAAAGUCGGACUAAUACCGCAUAAAACAGGGGCACCGCAUGGUGAUAUUUGUUAAGAAAUUCGCUGAUAGAUGGGCAUGCGUUCCAUUAGGUAGUUGGUGAGGUAACGGCUCACCAAGCCGACGAUGGAUAGGGGAACUGAGAGGUUGGUCCCCCACACUGGUACUGAGACACGGACCAGACUCCUACGGGAGGCAGCAGUGAGGAAUAUUGGUCAAUGGGCGGGAGCCUGAACCAGCCAAGUCGCGUGAAGGAAGAAGGAUCUAUGGUUCGUAAACUUCUUUUGCAGGGGAAUAAAGUGCAGGACGUGUCCUGUUUUGUAUGUACCCUGAGAAUAAGGAUCGGCUAACUCCGUGCCAGCAGCGGC